GGAUGACUACUAUGAAGGGGCUGAAGAGGAGGAGGAGGAGGACUACUACGUGGAGGAGGAGGAGGAGGAUGACUACUACGAAGAGGCUGAAGAGGAGGACUACUAUGAUGAAGGCUACUAUUAUGAGGAGAGCGACUACUAUGAAGAGGAUGACGACUACUAUGAAGAGAGGGAAGACGACAGGGAAGUCUACUACGAGAUUGACUACUAUGAGGAGGAGGAGGAGGAGGAAGAAGAAGAAGAGGACGAGGACGUUUACUACAACGUCGACGACUUCGAGGAGGAGGAGGAGGAAGAGGAGCCAGCAAACCCGGUGGAGGAAGCAGUUGCCACUGAGGCCUCUGCUGCCAAAAUGGAGGAGCCCAGCGCCUGAAGGCCUCAGGCCCCAGGCGCCGCACAUCGGCUUCCCCCGACUUCCUCCACAAAGCUCGCCCUCCACCGACGCGUCUUUCCCUCUGCAGCCCGCCCUAUGCACUGUAAUAUAGCAAAUAACUCCUUUUGAUGAUCAGGGGUCUUGGCGGCUUGCCAUAUACCCUGAAGAAAAAAGAUGUGUAUACGUGCCUGCCCCCCACAUACGAAGCCUGCUCCCCCCUGCACGAGGCCACUGCUGAACUUUCUUUCCUGCCCUGGAUUUUGCUACCUUGAAAUAAUAUGAAGUUUCUCAACCGUCAAAAGCCGUCGCUCAAGAAAAUCUCUGGUCCUUGGAGUAUCACACCAUCAGAAAAACUACCGAAGGAAAUGGCUGGAACAUGGCAUCUGAUCUUCAGGCUUGAGGAAGCAGAUUUAAUGACUUGAUUUCCUGUUCAUUUGAUGGUUUCCCAGGGGUUGCCAUUUUGCCAUAGACUCUGGGUCUGGCCAGCUGACUUAUUUUGUCCCACCAUCCCACAUUCCACAUGGCACAUGGCCUUUUCCUGGGUGGCAGUUUUUCCUCCGUUUAAUGAGAAAGUAGUGAGGAAAAACCAACUCAGGCCAUGAGCUCAACUUUUAAUCCUCGAUGGAAAGCUUCAAAACAGGAAAUGCAUACCUCUGAUCAAGAAAAGGGUGAACACGUUUUGUAAAACUGAUUUCCUUUGGGUCCAUCUUCCUUUUCUGGGACAGAAAAAUGACUAAAAUGAUUUAUGGAGCAGCCAAAUAUCUUCUUUUACCUUUGAGUUCUUAGAGAAAUGUGUUUUUCUCAUGAGACAAGAAAAUUUCAUUUUCUUAUUCAUGUUCUGUUUUAUGACCUAAUAUUUCCCAUCAAACAAAAGGAUCUUAGAGAAAACCAAGGGACCAAAACUAAUAACACUAUUACUGGUGAAUAGGAGUGCCAAUACCUUAAGGGAACAACCCUGGGCAAAAUCAGUUUUCAGCCAGAAUUGGUCACCUGUAAAUGACGUGUUUGCUUACUUUUUGCAGAGUAUUCUUUUUGUUUAACGUUAUAUAAAGAAAAUAACUUUGAUAUUAGCUGAUUUACCAGCGGUCCCCUGUAAAAAUCAAAAUUCUAUUUGACUAAUUUGGUUACCUUCAUAGCUGGAAGGGUACUUGCAAAUGAACAAAUUUAUUUUUGUUUAAUGUUUAGAAUACCUACCAUUCAGAGGUUUUGACAAAAUGAACAGGGACCUUCACUGACAAAGGACUGUUAUUCCCAAUGUACAACCAGCUAUUAUAGUUCAACUAUAAGAAAAUGAAUAAUCCGAUUUAAAAUGAACAAAAGUUCAUUUUAAAGUUCAUGAACAGACACUUUACUAAAUAAGAUCGCUGACUCCUAGCUUUUUGACCUGAGCAACUAGCAUGAUGGACUUGCCAUUUCCUGAGAUGGGGAUACUCCUUGGGCAAUUGUAUAUACCUUACCUUACACAGGACCAUUUCCUCAGUGCCUUUCCUCUAGAUCUGCCCACUGAUGUAUGGACUGAUAGACAGCCUCAGAGCGUGCUGCAGUUCUAGGUUAGGGGUGCUCAGAAUAAACGCCGAUGAGAUCUGGAGAGCAGAACUGGAGCAUCAGCCAUUACACCUUAAAGGUCUGUGUCAGGCGUCAGGCACCACGGCAGCUCACACACAUUGCUGCUGACCUGGUACCUCACCCUGUUAACAGUCUCCAGUGAUGAUAUGGGGCAGAGGUAAGCAAUGGCUGGAACCUCAGCCCCCGCUGGAUCUCUUCUCUCAGCUUUCCUGAAUCCAGGGCCAGGCUUCCGUAGAGCUCAAUGAGAAGGGAGUUCGGACCUUCUCUAGAUAACCUCUAUCUAUCAUCAAGGUUCAAAGCAGUGAGAGUAGACAGGCUUGUCCUCACCGGUCCCGGCUAAACCUUGUAUAUCCCUGGUGAUCCUUGAUUUCUUCUGCUUCGUGCCCCACUUUUCUUUCAGAUUGCUUGCACUGCUAACCUGCCAUGGAAUCAGGUUCACUCUCUGAGAAAGAAGCAACAGCCUUCCAUACAUUCCAGUAGCUUCCCUGAGUGAUUCCUGGUGGAUAAUGACCCUGUUCUUAGCCGCCAACUGUUUUCUCCCACACCUCACUUCCCUAGCUUCUCCCAUGAUUGUAUGGAGCCUGAUUCCUAUAAAUAAAUGUUAUUCCACAGCACA